rnacentral:tRNA from 1 species
GGGGUUGUGGCUCAGUGGUAGAGUGCUCGCCUAGCACGUGAAAGUCCCUGAGUUUGAGCCUCUGCACCA